rnacentral:rRNA from 1 species
AACGUCCCGCAACGAGCGACCAACCCUACGUUUAGUUGCUAACGCGUGAAGGCGAGCACUCUAGACGAACUGCCGUUGACAAAACGGAGGAAGGUGGGAUGACGUCAAAUCAUCAUGCCCCUUAUGUUCUGGGCUACACACGUGCUACAAUGGCCGGUACAGACGGACGCAAAGCCGCGAGGUGGAGCAAAUCCUAAAAAGCCGGUCUCAGUUCGGAUUGCAGGCUGCAAUUCGCCUGCAUGAAGUCGGAAUCGCUAGUAAUCGCAGGUCAGCAUACUGCGGUGAAUACGUUCCCGGGCCUU